rnacentral:rRNA from 1 species
GUCUACAGCCAUGCCACCCUGAACGAGCCGGAUCCCGCCUGAUCUCGGAAGCUAAGCAGGGUCGGCCCGGUUAGUCCUUGGAUGAGAGACCACCUAGGAAGACCAGGUGCUUUAGAUG